GGGCAUACCUGUAGACCUUGCCUGACUGUGGUCAUGGCCAGGCAGAGGGGACAUUGUAUGCAAGAAUAAUUUGAAAUUCCUGCCAGCUUUAGCCAGUAAUCAGUGGCUGGAUAAAUUGCAGGACUCUUAACAUUC
ensembl:snoRNA